GAUGAACGCUAGCGAUAGGCUUAACACAUGCAAGUCGAGGGGCAGCACAAGGUAGCUUGCUAUCUGGGUGGCGACCGGCGCGCGGGUGCGUAACGCGUAUGCAACUUGCCCUAUACAGGAGGAUAACCCGUCGAAAGACGGACUAAUACUGCGUAUGCUCACAACUUGGCAUCAAGUGGUGAGGAAAGAAAUUCGGUAUAGGAUAGGCAUGCGUCCCAUUAGCUUGUUGGUGAGGUAACGGCUCACCAAGGCAACGAUGGGUAGGGGAACUGAGAGGUUUAUCCCCCACACUGGUACUGAGACACGGACCAGACUCCUACGGGAGGCAGCAGUGAGGAAUAUUGGUCAAUGGGCGCGAGCCUGAACCAGCCAAGUCGCGUGAAGGAUGACUGUCUUAUGGAUUGUAAACUUCUUUUAUACGGGAAUAACAAGAGUCACGUGUGACUCCCUGCAUGUACCGUAUGAAUAAGCAUCGGCUAACUCCGUG
rnacentral:rRNA from 1 species